CUCUUGUCCCCCAGGACAGGUGUCUGUCUGUCUCUCUCUCUCCUCAUGUCCCCCAAGACCAGUCUCUGUCUCUCUCCUCCUUUCCCCCAGGACAGGUGUCUGUGUCUGUUUCUCUCCUCCUGUCCCCCAGGACAGAUGUCUGUCUCUCUCCUCUUGUCCCUCAGGACAGGUGUCUCUCUUCCCCAUGACAGGUAUCGGUCUCUCUCGCUCUCCUCCUCUCCCCCAUGACAGGUGUCUGUCUCUCUCUCCUCCUGUCCCCCAGGACAGGUGUCUGUCUCUCUCUCUCUCUCCUCCUGUCCCCCAGGACAGAUGUCUGUCUUUCUCUCUCAUUCUCUCUCUCCUCCUGUCCCCCAGGACAGGUGUCUCUCCUCAUGUCCCCCAGGACAAGUCCCUCUCCUCAUGUCCCCCAGGACAAGUCUCUCUCUCUCUCCUCCUGUCCCCCAGGACAGGUGUCUCUCUCUCUCUCCUCAUGUCCCCUAGGACAAGUCUCUCUCUCCUCUUGUCCCCCAGGACAAGUCUCUCUCCUCAUGUCCCCCAGGACAAGUCUCUCUCUCUCUCCUCCUGUCCCCCAUUACAGGUGUCUGUCUCUCUCUCCUCCUGUCCCCCAUGACAGGGGUCUGUCUCGCUCUGUCUCUCUCUCCUCUUGUCCCUCAGGAAAGGUGUCUCUCUGUCCUCCUGUCCCCCAUGACAGGUGUCUGUCUCUCUCUCUCCUCCUGUCCCCCAGGACAGAUGUCUGUUUCUCUCCUCUUGUCCCUCAGGACAGGUGUCUCUCUUCCCCAUGACAGGUAUCGGUCUCUCUCGCUCUCCUCCUGUCCCUCAUGACAGGUGUCUGUCUCUCUCUCCUCCUGUCCCCCAGGACAGGUGUCUGUCUCUCUCUCUCAUCCUGUCCCCCAUGACAGGUGUCUGUCUCUCUCCUCCUGUGUGUUCCAGCCCCAGCCCGAGUGUUCGUUUGUUUGCAUCUAUUGUACUACAGCUAAUGUAUAACAGCUCAGUUUUUAGUGAUGUAUUUGAGCUAAUGUAUUUUACCUAUCGUGGGGUGGCUGUGGCUCAGGUGGCAGAGCGGGUCGUCCAAUGAUCGAAGGGUCGGCGGUUCGAUUUCCGCUCUGUCCUAGUCAUGUGCUGUUGUGUCCUUGGCCAAGACACUUUACCCACCUUGCCUCCAGUGCUGCUACUCACACUGGAGUAUGAAUGGGUGUGAAUGCUGGUGGUGGUCGGAGGGGCCGUAGGCGCACAUUGGCAGCCACGCUUCCGUCAGUCUGCCCCAGGGCAGCUGUGGCUACAAAUGUAGUUUACCACCGCCGAGUGAGAAUGUGUGAGUGAAUGAAUAAUGGAUUCAUUGUGAAGCGCUUUGAGUGCCUUGAAAAGCGCUAUAUAAAUCUAAUCCAUGAUUACUAUUAUUAUUGUACCACAGCUAUUGUAUAACAGCUAAUGUAUUAAAGUAACGUAUGAGAGCUAAUGCCUAUCAUCUAUUGGACUACAGCUAUUGUAUUAGAUCUAAUGUGUUACAGCUAAUGACUGCCCAGGUGUUCCAGCCCGAGUGUUCCCCAGGACAGGUGUCUCUCUCUCUCUCAUCCUUUCCCCAGGACAGGUGUCUCUCUCUCUCUCAUCCUUUCCCCAGGACAGGUGUCUCUCUCUCUCUCAUCCUUUCCCCAGGACAGGUGUCUCUCUCUCUCUCUCAUCCUUUCCCCAGGACAGGUGUCUCUCUCUCUCUCCUCUGGAUCCCCUUGACAGGUGUCUCUCUCUCCUCCUGUCCCCCAGGAUAGGUGUCUGUGUCUGUUUGUCUCCUCCUGUCCCCCAGGACAGAUGUCUGUCUUUCUCAUUCUCUCUCUCAUCCUGUCCCCCAUGACACGUGUCUGUGUCUCUCUCUCUCUCCUCCUGUCCCACAGGACAGGUGUCUUUCUCUCGGUCCUCCUGUCCCCCAGGACAGGUGUCUGUGUCUCUCUCUCUCCCUCCCCCCCGUCCCACAGGACAGGUGUCUGUCUGUCUCUCCUCCUUUCCCCCAGGACAUUUGCCUGUGUUUCUCUCUCCUCCUGUCCUCCGGGACAAGUGUCUUCCUGUGUCAUCCUGUCCCCAGGACAGGUGUCUUGCUGUCCUCCUGUCCCCCACAACAGAUGGGUUAGGGUUAGGGUUAGUUUUUCUUCUCUUAAAAUGGAUGUUUGACGACACACAGCAGUGAGCAUGAUUAAUAAAAUGCUGUAGAGUGAACUCAUCUGACAAAAAUCUGAGUAUUUUUCUGUUUUUCUCACUAUUCAGUAACAGACACAUCAAUAAUGCUUGAGUAAUUGGAACCCAAAAUGUGAAAACGGAUUUCAUACUAAGUUCUGUUACUAUUUUCCUUUGGUGCCUGCUCAAACCUCUUUGGAUGGUGUAAAAACAAUUCUCACUGCAAGAAAACCCUUGUUUUUAUUAUUUGACAGUGGAAAGUUAGUUGCUCUGUAUAAAUUCUUUUUGACACUCGUGUCUGUUGAGCGGGUUCGUUUUUUGAAGAUAGAAAACAAACUACUUCUCUCCAAUUAAGCCGUUUAUUUUCUACCAUCAGUGUCUCAAAAGAAUCUUGAUCAAGGACCUUUUCUGUCUGGAACAGCCUCCCAGAAAAGGACAAAGUCUGAUAUGAACAGAACCUUUUUGUACUGUAUGGUGAAAUGUGAUUGGUUAUAGAAAACAAACAUAUCAUUCAAAUAUUGAACAGUGAUUGGCUAAAGGUGGGGAUAACCCUGGUGUAGACUUAGUUCUCCCAUUGGUUGGUGUACAGAUACGUCCAUAUCUCUGGCACACGAUUCAUCCAAUCUCCAGGAACCAUCCUGUAAAAGAACCUCCUAGAAACCUCUUCCUGCUCUCUACCUGUCAGUCUUAUUCCUCUGUUAGCUGAGAUGUGAUGCAGCUACUGGUGGUGUCUCAUAGGGAGGAUUAUUAUGGUUUCCACCCUUAAACAACCUUGAGUUUAGCGGUUUCAGUACAAUUAGUUGUUACAUUAUAAGGACAUGCUGUGUGUCAAGGCCAAUGUGCUGUGUGUGAAAACACUCUUUGUACUCGUGUGUGUGUGUGUGUGUGUGUGUGUGUGUGUGUGUGUGUGUGUGUGUGUGUGUGUGUGUGUGUGUGUGUGUGUGUGUGUGUGUGUGUGUGUGUGUGCGCGCAGCUGUAGUUUCCAGCCUGACCUGUGUGUAUCCAUCAUGUAUUUAACCCUUCAGAGCCUGGGGUUAAUGCUCUCUCUCUACUCAGGUCAACACAACUCAUACAUUAAUUACACAACAAAUGGUUAUUAAUAUCAAUAUUGCAUUACUCAUAUGUAACAUCAAGUUCAGUGUUCAGCUAGCAGUGCCUUAAAAAAAUAAAUCCUAACAUGUCCUUGUCUCAGUCUGAUCCAGUUCUUCUCUAAGAUGAGGAAGUCAGGGUUCCCGCGGAUCCUUAAAAAGUCUUAAAAGGCAUUGAAUUCAUGAAUCUAAAAACAAGGCCUUAAUUGGCAUUAAAAUGUCUUAAAUCAAUCUUUCAAACGUCUUAAAAAUAUUAACACGUGAUAUGUAUGAGUUUAUGAUUGUAAUUGGUCUCAAACCUCAAAAUAAAUGGUAACAUUUAUUCAUUUAUUCAUUUAUUUAAAUAAUUUACAGAAUGACUUUCGAGGUAACAUCGCACAAUCACGAUAGCGGAACCAACAAAACAGUGAUGUGUUUGCAGCCGGGACUCUAAUCGCAGACGCACGUCGUUCAUGUAGCAACUUUGGACCACAUGGGAAAAUGUAAAUUCAACGAAAAUUGGCUGUCCAACCAAGUUUUAUCUUCACGGCUGAAAGCGGUACCAGGCAGUGUACGAGGCACCGGUGUAUUUUGUGCAAGAAAUGUUUCAAACUCGGCACGAUGGGAGUGAAGGCCGUGGAGUCAUACAUGCACAGCGCAAAACAUAAAGCCUCGAAAUCAAGCUGCCAUCAAACGCCGGGUAUUUCCCAGUUCUGUUCUACUCUCGUCUCCACCCCCAGCCCCGAUAUCAACAACCAGGACCGCAGCAUCGCAUCUCCGGACUAUGUUCGGGUGGACGCCUACACUGAAAGCACAGGUACUGUGGUCUCUGAACUCCGUGACAAAACACCAAUCAUACCAGUCAAAUGAGGGAGUUGGAGGCUUUUUCCGUGUUGUGUUCCCAGACUCUGACAUUCCCACUCGUUUGCAUGCGGUUCCGACCAGACGGCCUACAUCAGCAGGUUUGGAUUAGCCCCGUACAUUUCAGAGCAGCUUGUUGCGGAUGCUAACAAGGACACGUUUGUUUUAAUGUUUGGCGAGAGCCUCAACCAGACCACGAAAACAAAACAACUGGAUCUGCAUAUCCGCUAUUGGUGCGAAGAUCACGUCCAGUCAAGAUAUUCGGGGUCGCAGUUGAUGGGACAUGGAACAGCUGAGGAUUUACUACGCCAUUUCAAAGAAGGUGCCAAGGACCUGGAUAGGCGUAAGCCGUUGUCCGCCUCCAUGGAUGGACCAAACGUUAAUUGGAAGUUCCUGGAGCUACUGCAGCAAGAACAUAUUGCAACUGAAGGAAUUUUGCCUGGAGGUGUGGUCAAAGAAAAAAAACUUUUUCACUGGACAAAAAAGUCAUGUUUUAUGUUAAAAUAAACAUUUGGGUAAAAUUGUCCCUAACCCUA